CCUACGGGUGGCAGCAGUGGGGAAUCUUGCACAAUGGGGGAAACCCUGAUGCAGCGACGCCGCGUGAGCGAUGAAGUAUUUCGGUAUGUAAAGCUCUAUCAGCAGGGAAGAAGAUGACGGUAACUGACUAAGAAGCCCCGGCUAACUACGGGCCAGCAGCCGCGGUAAUACGUAGGGGGCAAGCGUUAUCCGGAUUUACUGGGGGUAAAGGGAGCGUAGACGGCGAUGCAAGCCAGAUGUGAAAGCCCGGGGCUCAACCCCGGGACUGCAUUUGGAACUGUGUGGCUGGAGUGUCGGAGAGGCAGGCGGAAUUCCUAGUGUAGCAGUGAAAUGCGUAGAUAUCAGGAGGAACACCAGUGGCGAAGGCGGCCUGCUGGACGAUAACUGACGUUGAGGCACGAAAGCGUGGGGAGCAAACAGGAUUAGAUACCCGUGUAGUC
rnacentral:rRNA from 1 species